UCAAGUUAUUAAGGGUGCAGGGCGGAUGCCUUGGCACUAGGAGCCGAUGAAGGACGUGAUAAGCUGCGAUAAGCUUCGGGGAGUUGCACGUAAACUUUGAUCCGAAGAUUUCCGAAUGAGGAAACUCACUUAGAGUAAUGUCUAAGUAUCAUUAAGUGAAUACAUAGCUUAAUGAGGGGAACUCAGGGAACUGAAACAUCUAAGUACCUGAAGGAAGAGAAAGAAAUUCGAUUCCGUAAGUAGCGGCGAGCGAACGCGGAUUAGCCCAAACCAAUAAAGUUUUCUUUAUUGGGGUUGCGGACAUAUCAUAACGAAGAGGUAUCGUAAUUGAAGAGGUUUGGAAAGACCCACCACAGAAGGUAAUAGUCCUGUAUGUUAAACGAGAAGACUUCAGAUAUGAUCCAGAGUACCACGGGACACGUGAAACCCUGUGGGAAGCAGGAGGGACCACCCUCCAAGGCUAAAUACUACCUAGUGACAGUUAGCGUAUAGUACCGUGAGGGAAAGGUGAAAAGAACCCCGGGAGGGGAGUGAAAUAGAACCUGAAACCCUGCACUUACAAGCUGUGGAAGCACAUUUCUUGUGUGACCGCGUACUUUUUGUAGAACGGGCCAACGAGUUACGUUAAGUAGCAAGGUUAAGCACUUAAGGUGUGGAGCCGUAGCGAAAGCGAGUUUUAACUGAGCGUUCAGUUACUUGACGUAGACCCGAAACCGGGCGACCUACCCAUGAGCAGGAUGAAGCGAAAGUAAAAUUUCGUGGAGGUCCGAACCCACGAGCGUUGAAAAGCUCGGGGAUGACUUGUGGGUAGCGGUGAAAUUCCAAUCGAGCCCGGAGAUAGCUGGUUCUCCCCGAAAUAGCUUUAGGGCUAGCCUCAAGGUGAGAGAUACGGAGGUAGAGCACUGAAUGUCCUAGGGGGUAUUGCACCUACCGAAGACUAUCAAACUCCGAAUGCCGUCAUCUUAUACUUGGGAGUCAGACUGUGGGUGAUAAGAUUCAUAGUCGAAAGGGCAACAGCCCAGAUCGUCAGCUAAGGUCCCUAAAUGUAAGUUAAGUGGUAAAGGAUGUGGGAUUGCACAGACAACCAGGAUGUUGGCUUAGAAGCAGCCACUCAUUCAAAGAGUGCGUAAUAGCUCACUGGUCGAGUGAUCCUGCGCCGAAGAUUUCCGGGGCUAAAACUUACUACCGAAGCUACGGCAUCAGUAAUGAUGGGUAGGGGAGCUUCCCAUACGGGUUGAAGCAUGACCGUAAGGACAUGUGGACAGUAUGGGAGUGAGAAUGUUGGCAUGAGUAGCGAGAUGUGGGUGAGAAUCCCACAGGCCGUAAACCCAAGGUUUCCAGGGGAAGGUUCGUCCGCCCUGGGUUAGUCGGACCUAAGCUGAGGCCGAAAGGCGUAGGUGAUGGACAACAGGUUGAUAUUCCUGUACUACCGAUAACCGUUUGAGAGAAGGGAUGACACAGUAGGAUAAGCUAAGCACACUGUUGGUUAUGUGUGCCCAAGCAUUGAGGCAGUCAAAGUAGGCAAAUCCGCUUUGAUAAUGCUGGGAUGUGAUGGGGAGCGAAAUUUAGUAGCGAAGUAGCUGAUUUCACACUGUCAAGAAAAGUCUCUAUCGAGGUUAAAGGUACCCGUACCGCAAACCGACACAGGUGGGUGAGGAGAGUAUCCUAAGGCCAGCGAGAGAACUGUUGUUAAGGAACUCGGCAAAAUGACCCCGUAACUUAGGGAUAAGGGGUGCCACCAUCAGGUGGCCGCAGAGAAUAGGCCCAAGCGACUGUUUACCAAAAACAUAGGUUUCUGCUAAGUCGCAAGACGAUGUAUAGGAGCUGACGCCUGCCCGGUGCUGGAAGGUUAAGGGGAUCUGUUAGAGCAAUCGAAGCAGUGAACUUAAGCCCCAGUAAACGGCGGCCGUAACUAUAACGGUCCUAAGGUAGCGAAAUUCCUUGUCGGGUAAGUUCCGACCCGCACGAAAGGCGUAACGAUUUGGGCACUGUCUCAACAACAGACUCGGUGAAAUUGUAAUUCCGGUGAAGAUGCCGGAUACCUGCGACAGGACGGAAAGACCCCAUGGAGCUUUACUGUAGCUUGACAUUGGGUCUUGGUACUACAUGUACAGGAUAGGUGGGAGGCUUUGAAACCAGGACGCCAGUUUUGGCGGAGCCAUCCUUGGGAUACCACCCUUGUAGUACUGGGACUCUAACCAUAGGCCAUGAAUCUGGUCUUGGGACACUGUCAGGUGGGCAGUUUGACUGGGGCGGUCGCCUCCCAAAAGGUAACGGAGGCGCUCAAAGGUUCUCUCAGUACGGUCGGAAAUCGUACGUAGAGUGUAAAGGCAAAAGAGAGCUUGAUUGCAAGACAUACAGGUCGAGCAAGGAUGAAAAUCGGACUUAGUGAUCCGGUGGUUCUGCGUGGAAGGGCCAUCGCUCAACGGAUAAAAGCUACCCUGGGGAUAACAGGCUUAUCUCCCCCAAGAGUCCACAUCGACGGGGAGGUUUGGCACCUCGAUGUCGGCUCAUCACAUCCUGGGGCUGUAGUAGGUCCCAAGGGUUGGGCUGUUCGCCCAUUAAAGUGGUACGCGAGCUGGGUUCAGAACGUCGUGAGACAGUUCGGUCCCUAUCCGUCGCAGGCGUAGGAAAUUUGAGAAGACCUGUCCUUAGUACGAGAGGACCGGGAUGGACGUACCUCUGGUGUACCAGUUGUUCUGCCAAGGGCAUGGCUGGGUAGCUAUGUACGGAAUGGAUAAGCGCUGAAAGCAUCUAAGCGCGAAGCCAACUUCAAGAUAAGAUUUCCCACCGCAAGGGUAAGACCCCAGAAAGACUAUCUGGUUGAUAGGUCGAAGGUGUAAGUGCAGCAAUGUAUUUAGCUUAUCGAUACUAAUAGGUCGAGGACUUGACCAA
rnacentral:rRNA from 1 species